UACGUAGGGACCAAGCGUUGUUCGGAUUUACUGGGCGUAAAGGGCGCGUAGGCGGCGUGGUAAGUCACUUGUGAAAUCUCUGAGCUUAACUCAGAACGGCCAAGUGAUACUGCUGUGCUAGAGUGCAGAAGGGGCAACCGGAAUUCUUGGUGUAGCGGUGAAAUGCGCAGAUAUCGGGAGGAACACCUAUGGCGAAGGCAGCUCGCUGGGACGUUACUGACGCUGAGACGCGAAAGCGUGGGGAGCAAACAGG
rnacentral:rRNA from 1 species